rnacentral:lncRNA from 1 species
GUUAAUAAACGAGUUUAUUGUAAAUUAUGCUCCAUUGGUCUUUUUGUGGUUUUCUACCCACCUUUAUCUCCGUGACGGUGAGAUGUCGUGAUGUUCUUACUGGGCUAGUGUAGCUCACUCCUUAAUUAACCAUUUCAGAUCAGGAAGACAUGGUUCCCGAGCCCGUUCCACAGGAGGACGACGAAGGGGAUGCCUAGAGACUCUGUAGUCAUACGCAUAGUUUAUUUUCGAGUUUUCUUUCUUAGUUAGUUUAACCUUUUAUAUUUUAAGUACGUUUGUUUGGUUUUUCGUGUA